rnacentral:rRNA from 1 species
UACGUAGGGUGCGAGCGUUGUCCGGAAUUAUUGGGCGUAAAGAGCUCGCAGGCGGCUUGUCGCGUCGGAUGUGAAAGCCCGGGGCUUAACUCCGGGUCUGCAUUCGAUACGGGCAGGCUAGAGUUCGGUAGGGGAGAUCGGAAUUCCUGGUGUAGCGGUGAAAUGCGCAGAUAUCAGGAGGAACACCGGUGGCGAAGGCGGUUCUCUGGGCAUUACCUGACGCUGAGGAGCGAAAGUGUGGGGAGCGAACAGG